rnacentral:rRNA from 1 species
AGAGAUCCUGCAGUCCUCGCCCAUACGGAUGGAGGGUGGGAGUAAAUCCCACAUGGCCAUCCAGUUACUGUGAAGAAAUUUAAAGUGUUUAAAGCGGCGAAUGCAUGAAUAGUUUAGCAUGGAAUAACAGAGAGUGAAGGUUCUCUUGUUGGUUCGAGAAUAACCAUUGGAUUAAUAGGAACAGUCGGGGGCAUUAGUAUUUGGUAGUCAGAGGUGAAAUUCUUGGAUUUACCAAAGACUAACGGGAGCGAAAGCGUUUGCCAAGGAUGUAUUUAUUAAUCAAGAACGAAAGUUGAGGGAUCGAAGACGAUCAGAUACCGUCGUAGUCUUAACCAUAAACGAUGCCGACUCGCGAUUGGGGGAGAACCAUGAGGUUACCGCCAGGAGCGUAGGAGAAAUCAAAGUGAAUGGGUUCUGGGGGGAGUAUGGUCGCAAGGCUGAAACUUAAAGGAAUUGACGGAAGGGCACCACCAGGAGUGGAGCCUGCGGCUUAAUUUGACUCAACACGGGGAAACUCACCAGGUCCGGACAUGGGAAGGAUUGACAGAUUGAGAGCGCUUUCAAGAUUCUAUGGGAGGUGGUGCAUGGCCGUUCUUAGUUGGUGGAGUGAUUUGUCAGGUUAAUUCCGAUAACGAACGAGACCUUGGAUAGUGAAUGGGGUGACUCGAGGGAUCGGGUGCGCCUCUCUCACUAUGACUGACUA